CCAAAGGCUCUUCUUAGAGCCACCUACGAUUUCUUUGAAAUUAGCU
rfam:Sarcophilus harrisii ctg7180002251818, whole genome shotgun sequence.